rnacentral:lncRNA from 1 species
AGAACAGGAUUUCUGAGCAUGCAGUCAUAACUCUAGGUCAUUCAUUAAUUUCAGGCCCUGCUAGCAGAUACCAAGGAUGACAGUGAAAACAGUCACACGGAAGAAGGAGGGAGGGAGGACCGUGCACUACAAAGAACUCUUUUACACCGAGUUGAGAAAUCAUCGGGUUGUUAGAAUUGGACAGAACAUUUAACUCCCAUUCCUUUAUCAUCUAAAAUCUGAUAUCAUGUCAUUUGGUUCACUUCCUACAAAUAAUUACCUUUUGGCUACAUCAAGGUUAUAAUGAUAAGUUAUCAUUUCGGAGCCCAGACUACAGCCCUCGAACCAAGCUAAGUGACUUAAGUGUGCCAUCUCAUUUAACCCCCACAAAGAUUAUACUUGGCCAGGCUGAUAUCACUUAUUUCAUUUCACAGAUGAGGAUAUUGAUCUCAUGGUCACAAAGCUAGUAAACGGCCGAGAAUCACGCCUCGGUCUGUCCAGCUUCAAAACCUGGAUCCAUCACCAUGACACGCUGCUGAAUGAGGCCCGGGUUCGAGAGUAUCACACUUUAAAAAUAUCAUGAUGCAGAUGAGGAUGUGGUACAGUGAUGACUACCAUGUACACAGUACAUUCUAGACACACACUGUCCCCAAGUGCUUCUCUGCAUCUUCACUUAGUCCCCACUGCAACCCCAUGAGGCCAGCACUGUGACUGGAGGAUGCUGAGAGCAGUGAGGUGAAAUAAGCUGCCCGGCGUCACACAGCUGGGAACUGGCAGAAUUGGGAUUCCAGCUCAGGGAAGCGCCCAUGCUCUUAACUCUUAGGCUACACUGCCUGGCUCUUGGGUGGGGGAUCACUGCAGACAGAGUUAAGCUUUGGUGUGUGGGGGGCGGGGGAGGCAGGGGGAGGGGCAGGUGCUUCAAAGAUGGAAGGGAACACAGAGAAGGGACUUUGCCAACUAAUAUUAGCACAAGUCACAUACUGAGACGAAGGUUUUAAAGAGGAUUUUUUUCCCCCGCUAUUUGAGUUCAUGAGAAGAGUUUGUUACCUAUUGAACAAAUAGUCUUCACUAAUAAAGAACAAUGUGACAAGAAGUCAGCACUGUUCUUAGAUAACUGGGGACACAGGGAGGGCACUCCAGUGUUCCCAUGGAAGGAAUGAAUUCGGGCACAGUCCGUCCCGUGCAACUCCCCUAGGGAGAGAAGGGGCAACUGGAUUCCUCUCGACAAACUAGAAACUUUGUGACAAUGACAAGCUGUUCCCACCCCGGCCCUCCCCUAGGAUGCUGGAGAGCCCAGAGAGGGAAGAGAAGAAACCCAGCGUUGGUGCGGUGCCCACCGCGGACUCGACUUCAUUCCACCUUCACGCUGAGAGGCCAAGAUACCUAGAGAGAGUUCGCGGGGCCGGAGGCUCCCUGCUGUCUCCUGCAAGUGCGUGGGGGUGGGGUCUGAUUUCCACCCGUGUUGGACGUCAGCGGCCUCCGACGCUUUUUGGAAGCAGACUUUUCAGGAACACCUGCUGUGUGGCCGGCACUGUAGUAGGUGCCAGGGAUACAAAGAAGAAACUUUCAGGGCUCUUAGGAAGACAGGAAAACAAGUCAAUCAGCAAUGGUCCUAGCGUGAGCCUAUAACUCAGCAUGAACAUCGGCCUUCCGGGUGUUGUGUUCAUCAUGAAUGAGAAGACGUGCAACCUGGUGUAUGGGGGCCGGAGUAAGGGCCUAAGACAAGCUCAUCCACACAUGACCUUGACAUGAAAACGGUGUGGACUCGGCUAACUUGGCUUCACCCUGCGUUCCCCAACAGCACUUUGUGAACCACUCUCUCAGUCUUUUUCUUUCAGUAACGUUUUGUGUCCUCCCAAAUUAUAAAAGUAAUGCAUGCUUUACUCAGCUACUCUCAAUACAGAAAAGUUCAAAACAAAAAACCAAACAGCCAUGUGUAGUGGCUCAUGCCGGUAAUUCCAGCACUUUGGGAGGAAAAAGGAUCACUUGAGCUCAGGAGUUCGAGACCAUCCUGGGCAACAUAGCAAGACUCUCGUCUGUACAAAAAAAAAUUAAACAUCAGCCAGUCAUGGCUGCAUGCAUUUGUAGUCCCAGCUACUUGGGAGGCUAAGGUGGGAGGAUUGCUUGAGCCCACGAGGUCGAGGUUGCAGUGAGCUGUGGUUGUGCCACUGUACUCCAGCCUGGGUAACAGAGCAAGACCUUGUCUCAAAAACAAAACAAAAUAAAACAAACACUCAUUUCUACAUCAUUCAAAAAAAUUGGUUCAUAUUGUUCUCUCAACAUUUUCCUCUUACACAAUUUCUUUGCCAUAAUGAUAAUUCCAGUUUUCUAAGCACUAGGCAGUGCUGUAAGCCCUCUGCAUGUAUUAACUCAUUUGAUACUAUCUCUGUACCCUGGGAUGUGGAUCUCCAUCCUUACAUGAAUUCAUGCACUCCCUCCUUCGUUCAUUCAGCAGACUUUUCAGGAACACCUGCUGUAAGCCUGGCACUGUGGUAGGUGCCAGGGAUAUAAAGAAGAAAAUUUCAGGGGUUUUAGGAAGACAGCCAAACAAGUCAAUCAGCCAUGACCCUAUCAUGAUGAGGAAACUGAGGUUCUGAAUGAUUAGAUGACUCACCCGAUAUCACACAGCUGGUAAGCACGUGAACCAGGAUGAGAAACCCAGGCUAUCUAUGCCAGUGCCCAGUUAACCAGUUCACCAGAACACCAGAAGCCGCCCCCAGGGCUGCAAGCUGACCAUGCCUGGGACACAGGAGGUUGCAGUGGUGAAGAUCAACAGGCGGGGCGAGGAGCAUCUCCGUCUCCCUCUGAAGACCAUUUGGAAGAGGGUGUGAGAGCUGCCGCCAGGCUUUCCCAGAGAACAGCUGGGCCUGGAAGGGGCGGUCCAGGUCCCAUAAUAACUGCUACCUGCUGCUGCAGCAAUUUUCCCUGCUGGGUGUUUCCAAGUCCGAGUCUCCUGGGGGAGGAGGCUGGGAGGAGGAGGAGGAGGAGGGCUGAUUCUCUAAACUCCCCCUGCUUCUCACCAAAGGUCUGUCCUUGGCCCAGCUUCCCUUCCGAAGGUUGAGUAAUCUCAAAAAAUUGCAGCCUGGCAUGAAAGAGCAGGCCUGCAGGCCAAGCCAGAUCACGUCCGCACGCGGGAUGCUUGGCCCACAUGCUCCUGUACACUUGUAACUGUUAAACCAGAGGACAAGAAGCAACAGAUGUCCUCAGAUCACCAAACCAGCAAAUGCGCAGAGCCAUGGUGGGCGUCUGGCCCCAGUGCUUGGGUGGCCCCUAACAUCAGAUUAAGGAAAAAAGACCUCUCCUCAGCUGGAACGUCCCACUUCCUCCUCCCUCCUCCUCACCAGUAUUUUUCUCUCUGCUUUGCCUGGAUUGGAGUCCUGACCUGGCUACUCCCAGCUGUGUGAACUGGGCCAGCAACUUAGCUCCGUUGUGCCUCAGUUUCUCCAUCUCUAAAUGAAGCGCUUAUUCCUCUCUCAUGGAGCCGUCGUGAGAAUUACGUGAAUGAAUACAGGCUGACUACUUUGAACAGUGCCUGGUACGUAAAGCCCUGUACACUGUAGCUUUUGCUGAUGGUGGUAGACACUCUGCUAUUUAGAGAGGUGUUCUUUCUCUCGAGGCUUUGAUUCCUGCUAAAACAGAAAUCAUUUGGAAAUGGACACUUUUUCUGCCAUUUAGAGAGGUAUUCUUUGUCUUGAGCCUUUGAUUCCUGUUAAAAUAGAAAUGAUUCAAAAAUGAA